CUGACGCGAUCAUGUGACUGUGUGUGUCCAGACCUGCUUCCCCAUCGUCCUCCACUACCUGACGCUCAUACGCAACGUCUCCAUGGGAAUCGUCUUCGCGCUCGCCGCCCUGGCGCUGCUCGGCAUGGCGCUGUCCUCCACCAUCAUCCACCAGAUGCGUUACCCGGGCCGCUCCACCCUCAUGAUGACGGUGCCGUCCAUCUUCACCUUGCCUCCACCCAAAUACCAGGAGCUGCACAACCCCCCCGGGUACUAGAGGGGGGGCUUUCUGUCUCAGGGGCUGGUUUGGGCCGAUUGGGUCCUCGGAUGCCAAAGUGCCUUCUGGGAACUGUUAACCACUGGGGUUCCUUGUCAGUUAGCUUAGAGACGAUCUGAUUGGUUGUUGCAGUGUGGGGGCGGGGCUUAUUGGGCGGCACAGAGAGGGUCGUUGAGGUUUUGUUCAAUUUUUACUUUUUUCAAAGGAAAAUGUCAUUUAGACCAGUUGUCAAUUAUAAUAAAAUGAAGAUGACAAUAAUUUGAGGCCCGAUUGAAGGAAAUCGAAGACGUCUUGAUUUCUAGGCUUUAAUCUCUAAAUCUCUUUUUGUAGAGACUUAAAAUCUGUUGUUUAGUUUAAUUCUUAAAGUCCCGAAGUUAUGAGGAACUGAAAAUCCAUUUGAGCCAAACUCAAAGACAGGAAAGUGAAUUGAAAGUUUUAUUUUUUAGUGGAAUAUUACUUGAUUUACUUAAAAAUUGUUUUUACUGUAAAAUUUUACUGUAAAAUUUUACUUUUAACCGUCCCUUAAUAUCUUAUUUGUCAAACAUUAAAACGUAAUUUAUUUUCUAACCAAUCACCAGCCAGCUGUCGCUCAUGUUGACACUUUAUUUAGUUAAAUAUCAUGUGUGUGUAUUUACAUCCUGUCGGGUUUGUUAAAUGUCUUUUCUUUCCCUGUUAAACCUUUUGAUUCUAAAACAUUUUCCCAUAAUUAUGUAAAAACCGAUGACGUUAAGGCUUUUAGUUUGAAAACUGAGAGCCGCUUUGAGACCCUCUGACAAAAAUGUGACGUGAAGUUUCUUAUGUUUUUAAUUAAAGUCAAUUUAAAUAAAUUCAUGAAGAGCUUUUUUAAGGAAUGUAAAGAAUGAAACUGAAGAAAAAGGGAAAUAAUCUUUUGUAUCUUUUUAGAUUUUCUGCUUGAACUGACGGCUUCAAAAUAAAAGAUCAAAACACUA